GAAGCGAGGACUGAAGACUCGUGAAGCUGACCAGUACUAAUAGGCCGAUGACUUACACACA
rnacentral:rRNA from 1 species